CUCGCUCGCAGCAUCCUCUCCAUUCCACUCGCUCGCAGCAUCCUCUCCAUUCCACUCGCAUCGCAAGUGCCGUCCUUUUAUCACCAAUCACCAGAUCCGAUCACUGAUAGGCUAUCAAUCCACGGAUUCGCGAAAACCCGCCCGCGUCACCCGCGCGGCGCUCGCAAGCUUGCUCCGGUAGCAGCCUCAACUCAUCAGUCCCCCGUCACCACUCCAAGUAGUGCCAGGCCGAUCCGGGGAAAAAACACUCGGAAUGUUUUAAGAAGCGGCUGUGCGUUAUCGGCGGUAAUUCAGUGCACUUGUGCUCGUCGUCGGUCGUGUGUGAUGUCGCGAGUGAAUGCGUGCUCCUAAUUAUCCUCGUGUGUUCAGUGCUCAGACGCGUCUGUGGUCAUCUCGGUUAGCGACCUUCUCUGGAUUCGACCCGGUUAAUUCGUGUCGAAUGAAAGCUCCCUCGCGCCCUCUGCCAUCCCUUCAUCGAGUUCGAGGGCUCAGCAACAACGCGAGCGUCCUAUGCUCUUGUGCCAGGAUCAACGUACUCCCAUUGGUCAUUGGGGUCCUCUCCUUCCUUAGGCGUGGGCGGCCUUGGAUGCGAUUCCCACCAAAAUGUGGGCCGAUUGGAGUCUCCAACGUUUACUCUGUCUUUUAUGCCACGUGGACUGACUGAAUAUGUUUGAAAAUGAAGUUGGUUACGUAUACAUGUCGAACAAAUCUGUCUGGGCUUUGAAAUAUGUAUGCUACGUGAACAGACAUGCAGUCGAGUCAAAUCUAUUGAAAUUUCACCGGCGAAUGAAGUUUACGGUAAUAAAUGUCUAGAUUUUAGCGUGACGUCAUUGUCACUUCAGAGAUAAAAAGACCUAAACUUUUAGAUUUGUAAGUAUGAGGAAAAUUCUCAUCAAAAUGUAUCAUCGCCUUAGCUCUAAAGUAAUUUAUUUGUACUGGUGAUUUGUUCGGGCUCUAGGAACAUAAAAUGACAAAACGUCAUUUCUUUACAGUGUAAAAUGUUCUGAGCAGCUCAUGGUGCAAACUUAUUUAUGCGAUGUAGGUUCGAAGUUUGAAAUACAAAAUGACUCUCACAUGUGCCUUCAUUCUCCUUAUUGUAGAGACUAGGUUUAAACGAAUACACCCCAAAAGAGGAAGAUGAAAAUGCAGAGAAGAGAGGGAAAAAUAAAAAAAUAGACAUAAUUUGUGACCACCCACGCACGGCGAGGGGACUUUAGUCCACAGCGGCAACUUUUUCAUUACCUACAGUAAUCGAGAGGUUUUGGAGGACAAGGUCCAUAAGUGCAGUUUUUGAAAAACUUGAGGUAUUAAUGAUUUCAAGUAAAACUAGUUAUAAUGCGUAUUCUGUGAAAAAUGUGCUCCAAAAUUCCAAUUCGUUUGCACCAAAAAGUCAGUUUGAACUUCUUCCCCCCCCCCCCAAAGAUCCAUUUAAUUUCAAAACUUCUAACAUGUAUUUAUCGAAAUAGCAAAUACUGUACUUAUGCGCU
rnacentral:lncRNA from 1 species